rnacentral:rRNA from 1 species
GACGAACGCUGGCGGCGUGCUUAACACAUGCAAGUCGAGCGGUAAGGCCCUUUCGGGGUACGACGAGCGGCGAACGGGUGAGUAACACGUGGGUGACCUGCCCUCAGCUCUGGGAUAAGCCUGGGAAACUGGGUCUAAUACUGGAUAUGACUCCACGGUGCAUGUCGUGGGGUGGAAAGCCUUGUGCGGCUGAGGAUGGGCCCGCGGCCUAUCAGCUUGUUGGUGGGGUGAUGGCCUACCAAGGCGACGACGGGUAGCCGGCCUGAGAGGGCGACCGGCCACACUGGGACUGAGACACGGCCCAGACUCCUACGGGAGGGCAGCAGUGGGGAAUCUUGCGCAAUGGGCGAAAGCCUGACGCAGCGACGCCGCGUGAGGGAUGACGGCCUCGG